rnacentral:rRNA from 1 species
UACGUAGGGUGCGAGCGUUGUCCGGAUUUAUUGGGUUUAAAGGGUGCGUAGGCGGGAGUUUAAGUCUGUGUUCAAAGCCGGCCGCUCAACGGUCUGGUCGGGCAUGGAUACUGGACUUCUUGAGAGAGCUCGGGGCUGGUGGAAUUUGUGGUGUAGCGGUGAAAUGCAUAGAUACCACAAGGAACACCGAUCGCGUAGGCAGCCAGCCAGGGCUCUUCUGACGCUGAGGCACGAAAGUGCGGGGAGCAAACAGG